AAAGACAAACAACAGAGGGCUUCCCUUUCAGUAACGUGGAAUAUUAACUGUGGUUAACACAGUAUAAACCUCUCUAUUAACAUACCACAGUCCAAACUCACUCUCAGUGUCUCUGUAUGUCUGCAAGCAUAUAACUCUAAACCACUCAGUCUAUGAAUAGACCUCCAGAUCACCCACUUGAGCUCUUAGUGGAAGUCCUGACUAAUGUCCUCUGCAGAGACAUGAUGAUGCCAUCGACCUGGUCAGAGCUUGUAAGCUUCUAGAAUAUUUAGGUUCUCUCACGCUGUAGUAAGGGUUGUAUGGUCAACAUACCAUCGGGAAGCAUGUCAUCCA
rnacentral:misc_RNA from 1 species